rnacentral:misc_RNA from 1 species
GAUGAAGAACGUAGUGAAAUGCGAUAAGUAAUGUGAAUUGCAGAAUUCAGUGAAUCAUCGAAUCUUUGAACGCACCUUGCGCCCUUUGGCCAUUCCGAAGGGCAUGCCUGUUUGAGUAUCAUGAACACCUCAACUCUUCAUGGUUUUCCGUGAUGAGCUUGGACUUUGGGGGUCUUGCUGGCCUAUGGUCAGCUCCUCUAAAAUAAAUCAGCUUGCCAGUGUUUGGUGGGUAUCACAGGUGUGAUAACUAUCUACGCUUGUGGUUUUCCACCAGGUAACCUUCAGCAGUGGAGGUUCGCUGGAGCUCACAGAUGUGUCUCUCCUCAGUGAGGACAGCUCUUUGAAUGUUUGAUCUCAAAUCAGGUAGGACUACCCGCUGAACUUAAGCAUAUCAAUAAGCGAGGA